UACGAAGGGGGCUAGCGUUGCGUCGAAUCACUGGGCGUAAAGCGCACGUAGGCGGAUUGUUAAGUCAGGGGUGAAAUCCUGGAGCUCAACUCCAGAACUGCCUUUGAUACUGGGAGUCUUGAGUUCGGGAGAGGUGAGUGGAACUGCGAGUGUAGAGGUGAAAUUCGUAGAUAUUCGCAAGAACACCAGUGGCGAAGGCGGCUCACUGGCCCGAUACUGACGCUGAGGUGCGAAAGCGUGGGGAGCAAACAGG
rnacentral:rRNA from 1 species